rnacentral:rRNA from 1 species
UGGGGAAUAUUGCUCAAUGGGGGAAACCCUGAAGCAGCAACGCCGCGUGGAGGAUGACGGUCUUCGGAUUGUAAACUCCUUUUAUCAGAGAAGAAACCUGACGGUAUCUGAUGAAUAAGCGCCGGCUAACUCCGUGCCAGCAGCCGCGGUAAUACGGAGGGCGCAAGCGUUACUCGGAAUCACUGGGCGUAAAGGGCGCGUAGGCCGGCUAAUAAGUCAGGGGUGAAAUACAACGGCUUAACCGUUGAACUGCUCUUGAAACUGUUAGCCUAGAGUGCGGGAGAGGCAGAUGGAAUUGGUGGUGUAGGGGUAAAAUCCGUAGAGAUCACCAGGAAUACCCAUUGCGAAGGCGAUCUGCUGGAACGUUACUGACGCUGAGGCGCGAAAGCGUGGGGAGCAA